ensembl:lncRNA
CAAUACGGUGCCUGGGCCUGCGAGAGUGGUGCAGCAUCAGGACAGCAACGUCGCCUGCAGCAGUCAGCCAGCGGCCUCACAGAGCCCGGGGGUAAUCACCGAGUCCUGGACAACACUCCUAUUGACUGGGACCAAAUGAAAUAAGAGGGGGAACACAGAGCAGCAGAGGGAAUAGGAAAAGAUGUGAACCACCGCACAGGACAAAGAGGACGGAAAGACAGCGGAGUAGACAUCUUUUCGUUAGAUGAGGUUGAAAUAGUAAAAAAAUAAAAAUAACACCGAUCAAUGAGCGGAGAGGAACACUGUGUUUUUUUUUUUUUGUUUCGUUGUGACUCCCACCAGGCCCCCACGUGUUGCUGGCCCGCGAGGAUCCACGUGUGCCUUCUGAUGGGCAGCCCGGCCAUCCGCUCGCUGCUGUGCCCAGCCCGAGGUCCGCGUGAUGCGGGGGUUUGCUUGAAUGGAUGCCACUCUGGAAUUCAUGUGCAGAUGCAGCACGGUGGCUCCAACUAGAAGAUUUACGUAAAUGGGACGUGCUCAUGUGGCCAGAAGGUUUUUCACUGAGGAAGAAGGCUUGUGUUUUUUCUCCACCCACCAACAGAAUAACCUAACUUUGCUUUCAAGGAGGUGAUUAUUACACGGAAUGGCACUCUGGCUGUUGUUUGAUCGGGGAAACCCCAUCUAAGACCUGUUUGUAAUCCUAUCUCUUGGGAGUGCCACCAGCAGCAGAAUCUCUAUAGCAACACACCCACUCAAACAGUCAUAUCCGCUCUCACUCUCUAGCUCUCCCUGCUCGUCUCACAGUGCCUGUGAAGCGUCUCUGAGGGGAAAGACCAGACUGCUCUGUCAGGUAAUCUAAACCUCUCUCUCUCUCUCUCUCUCUCUCUCUCUCUGCUCCCCCCUCCCCUCACACUCUG